AAGUCGUAACAAGGUAACCGUAGGUGAACCUGCGGUUGGAUCAUUAUAAAAUAAUGGUUCUCUAGGUUGAGUUUUAAAUCUUUUUUAAGGUUUAAAAUUCCUUGGAGAAUUCCAAUCAACCCUUUGUGCACUGUAAAUGUUUUUUCGAGUACUUUUUAAAAAGUGCUCGACAAUAUUUAAAACCCCAUUUUUUAAUUUUGUCUGAAUUUUUUAUGAAAAUAAAAAAAAUACAACUUUUGACAACGGAUCUCUUGGCUCUC
rnacentral:misc_RNA from 1 species